GUAGUGUCUCCGGGUUGCUGGUUGCCGUUGGGAACCCUGGAAAUGGAACCAGCCGGUUCGGCCGCAUUCAGAUUCUUCAGAGAGGCUUCUCUUUCUCCGACGUUCCCGUUGAGCUCCCCAUAGCCUAGAAAACACAAGGAGGGCGCUCGGCUCAGAGGACCAGCAGAGAGGAAAGCUCAGAACACACUUCAAGCGGAGGGCUUGAGCACUCUGAACAAGAAGCCAGCGCCGUGUGGCAUCGGGCAGAGGCUGUCCCUCGGCAUCUAGGCCGGUGAGAUCAAGACAUGCAGAAACAAGGAGACGGUGGGGGCUGUUUUUGAACGCAAGGGCACCGUUCCCUAAAGCCGGUUUAGGAAGGCACUAUUGCUCAGUGGUCGAGCAUCUGCUUUGCAUGCAGCUGGUUCCAGUUUCCGUCGCUGGCAGCAUCUCCAAGGAGGCCUGGAAAAGGCUGGAGAGCCGGUCUUGUGGAGGCCAGUAUGAAUUCUCCCUUGGCUAAGUAGGGUCCACCCUGGCUUGCAUCUGGAUGAGAGACUACAUGUGUGAGCACUGUCAGAUAUUCCCCUCAGGGGAUGGGGCUGCUCUGGGAAGAGCACCUGCCUGCUUGUAGGGAGAAGGUCCCAAGUUCCCUCCCAGGCAGCAUCUCCAAAUAGGGUUGGGAGAGACUCCUGCCUGCAACCUUGGAGAAGCUGCUGCCAGUCUGGGUAGACAAUCCUGAGAGGCAUAAGAAGAACAUAAGCGCAGCCCUGCUGGAUCAGGCCGAAGGAGGCCCAUCUCAUCCAGCCUCCUGCUGCUCACAGUGGCCCACCAGAUGCCUCCAAGAAGCCCACGGGCAAGAGGGGAGGGCAUGCCCUCUCUCCUGCUGCUGCUGCUCCCCUGCCACUGGGAUGGAGAGGCAUCCUGCCUCGGAGGCUGCCCUAUAGCCACCAGACUAGAUGCAGCAAAGGCAGCCUGUUCCUUCCUACCCAGCUCUCCACUGCUCCCACCUUCACAAGUGCUGUAUGAUGACCUAAGACACUUUUCGAAAUAUACAUAAUUAUUCUUGAGGGAGGGUA